rnacentral:rRNA from 12 species
GGUGGCUGCACCCGAGAGUGAGUGCCUGAUAGCGUCUGAUCUUGGAAGCUAAGCAGGGCCGUGCCUAGUUAGUACUUGGAUGGGAAACCAACUUGAAAGACCAGGGGCCGCUAGCC